AGUGAACGCUGGCGGUAGGCCUAACACAUGCAAGUCGAACGGCAGCACAGUAAGAGCUUGCUCUUACGGGUGGCGAGUGGCGGACGGGUGAGGAAUACAUCGGAAUCUACUUUUUCGUGGGGGGUAACGUAGGGAAACUUACGCUAAUACCGCAUACGACCUACGGGGGAAAGCAGGGGAUCUUCGGACCUUGCGCGAUUGAAUGAGCCGAUGUCGGAUUAGCUAGUUGGCGGGGUAAAGGCCCACCAAGGCGACGAUCCGUAGCUGGUCUGAGAGGAUGAUCAGCCACACUGGAACUGAGACACGGUCCAGACUCCUACGGGAGGCAGCAGUGGGGAAUAUUGGACAAUGGGCGCAAGCCUGAUCCAGCCAUACCGCGUGGGUGAAGAAGGCCUUCGGGUUGUAAAGCCCUUUUGUUGGGAAAGAAAAGCAGCAGGUUAAUACCCCGCUGUUCUGACGGUACCCAAAGAAUAAGCACCGGCUAACUUCGUG
rnacentral:rRNA from 1 species